AAGGGAUGCUGGGAUAUGUUAUGAUCGGCAUGUGUUUCCGUCAGAAUGUAGUUUUGAUAAUUGUUAGCUGAAAUUUCCGAAGGAUUUGACAUCUAUGCACACAAUCCAAAAGGGGAACAUGGUUUCUAAUGCCCUAGAUUUGUUGAAGAAGUUUUAUGCACUCCAGGAAGAAAGAGUCCAAACAUACCAACUAUUUGAUGAAGGAUUUCAAGCAUAUUUAGCUGGUGCACCAGAGUACAAUUUUCCAAUGUAUAGGCAGCUUGUACAUGAAAUCACUGAAACUUUUAAGAACAUUUCUGAAGAAAUAAUCGGGAUUGAAAAGAAAUUGCGACAAGACCAUGGUUUACCAGCUGUUGGAAAUUAUAUUGUUAAAAUUCAGGAUGACGAAAAACUGAAAUUGGAGUUGACUGCCAAGCUACAGAUAGAUACUCAGAAUGUUGUGGAUUUUCCGGAAGAUGAUAGUUACAAGGAAGGAAUGCAGUCAACCAAACAAAGCUUGCGGCAGGUGAUAGACAGAAUAAACGACCACUUAGAAGAACUGAAAUACGAGACAGAAGAUCUUUAUACGUAGGAUUGAAAAUACUUUGACAUAUCAAUUGGACAAGUAACAAGCUGUGAUUGGUUCAGUGAUGUAUAUCGUCUAGAGGACAUUCUAUGACACACCGCAUAAAUGGUCACUGUAGACUUAAAGCCCCCGCCCCCUCUACAACUUGCUCUCAGACAUUUUAUCUGGCCUGAUGAUGACAAAUUGUCAAAAUGAACCUAGAGGACAGUUUUAGAACAUGGCACAAGUUCCAACACCGAAGACGAUCCACCUUUCCUCUUCCUCCACUGUUAUUCACAAGUUACCAUGGAUAAGAUAACUCAUGCCAAGAUGGGAGGAACCAAUAACUUGGAUUCGAAGAAAUGUUCUAACCUGUGAU
rnacentral:misc_RNA from 1 species